rnacentral:lncRNA from 1 species
AUUUGGAAAGGUAUUUAACACAUAUUCUCAUCCGAAACGGUGCUUUGGUGACAUCGAACUUUGCUGUUAAAGCCAAAUUCUUCGACUGGAAGGUUCUUUAGUGAAAAAAUCAGCAAUUUGAUCGAUGGUCCCAGUAAAGCAUCUAUUUGAUACCCCCAUGGAUGACCUUUUCAGAGAUAAUAUGGAAGUCUACUUCUAUAUAUUUUGCGCCAGCAUGAUAAAUUGGAUUGAAGGCUAAACAAAAUAUUUUAUUAGUAAAUCAAUGGUAGAGAUUUCAAGACUAUAUCUCAAAGAACCAUGCAUCUCAACCAUAAGUCGAUGGCAGUAUGGACCAAAGAUAUAUGCUAAGAUUCUGGGCA